rnacentral:rRNA from 2 species
UGGGGAAUAUUGGACAAUGGGCGCAAGCCUGAUCCAGCCAUGCCGCGUGAGUGAUGAAGGCCCUAGGGUUGUAAAGCUCUUUCACCGGUGAAGAUAAUGACGGUAACCGGAGAAGAAGCCCCGGCUAACUUCGUGCCAGCAGCCGCGGUAAUACGAAGGGGGCUAGCGUUGUUCGGAUUUACUGGGCGUAAAGCGCACGUAGGCGGACUUUUAAGUCAGGGGUGAAAUCCCGGGGCUCAACCCCGGAACUGCCUUUGAUACUGGAAGUCUUGAGUAUGGUAGAGGUGAGUGGAAUUCCGAGUGUAGAGGUGAAAUUCGUAGAUAUUCGGAGGAAAACCAGUGGCGAAGGCGGCUCACUGGACCAUUACUGACGCUGAGGUGCGAAAGCGUGGGGAGCAAACAGG